GGGCUAUAAAUAAUGCCAACGUGAGAAGAGGCAAUUCUCACUUCCUGCCUUUGGGAGAGAACUCCUGAUUGUGCUUUGCCAGGAAUCCACUGGUACAAAUUUACUUUUAAAGUUUGCUGGACUUGUGCUCAUUCUACUAAGGACUUGCUUUAUUGGCACAUUGAGUAUUUGCUGACAGUCUCCUGAUUCACUUCUUUAUGCCUUGGCUCCCAUAUAAGUUUUUCCUACGUACUUGGCAUUUAAGAAGCUCACACAGCCACCACUAUAGUCUCAGUUUGGAAGCUGGUGAACUGUGUCCUGCCUGGGGAAACGGCACCUGAUAAGAAGAUUCCAGAAUCACUUUUGGGGUCAGCCUCUGGAUGAAACCCAAAGCGUUGCUUGCCAAAACUAAAGGCAGCGAGGCCUGAUGAGUGCCAGCACCGGUGCAGAAAGGGGAACUCUACAUUUCCCAUCCUUCCAAGUAUGAACAGGCCACAACGAACACAACAGAAGAAGGAUGGGCUCCUCAGAGAGGAUGCUGCCGAGGCUUUUGGUCACGUGGGAAGUAAUACAGAGGGCUUGCAGAGCAAGAGCAAGAUGAAGCCAGCCCAGGGCUCUGAGUCUCCCAUGCUACAGGGGUUUGAGUGAGAGCCUGAAGCAGGCCAGGGGCAGGCUCUCACACCAUUGUAAACAGUCAGGAGUGAGACUGGAAGGUUUUGUUAUUUGCUUUGUUUGUUUUUCCUGUCUCUAAGAUAUAGAUUUGAGGGACUUCAAAUAACAGUAGUGGGCCAAACCAGAAUCUUAGUGAUAAGCUAAUGGCAUGGGCUGCUUUAGAAGUAAGUAUAAAAGUUUAUAGUACAAAAGAUAUCCUUUAAUUUCCUUCUAAAUGAAGAUAUAAAUCUAACCUAAAAGGAGAGUGGAGGGUGAGAUGUUUUAUUGCUCCGCUCUUGAAUGCCAGAGCAGGAUUGUUGGAAGGGAAGCAGUGGAGUGACAAUUAAUACAACUUGGACCAAGAAAAAGACAAAGAACAAGUUCUACUAGGAAAAUUCUUAAAAACUUCAACCCCAGAAGUAUUAACAUUUAAAUGAAAGUGGGGAACACUAACGUUACCUAACAGUAACUGUUAAGUUUUCAUUUCCUAUACCACUGGUCAUGAAUCAUGGGAAACUUAUAAAAGGGCAUAAACGGUUCAGAGGCCAGGCUAUACUGGAUCAGCAUCUAAGCUGCCAGUGCUGAACUGGGAAUCAAAAGCCGAGGGGCUCUGCCCAGGUGGAAACCUCACUGACGGUGAGUGGAAGUCACCUCCUUUUUCAGGAGCUUCACUUCCUCAGUGUAAAAGGAGGGGUUCCUUUGAAUAAUAAAAUAAAAUUCUAUGAUUCAUAAUGUAACUCCAUGAACUCUUUACUUGCCUGAGAUCACUAAAAGAAAUAUUUGGUGAAAAUGAAAAAGCAGAACAAAAAAGCAACAUUUUAUGUUUUCGACAAUGUUUAAGUCAAGGGAAUCUUAUUACCAUGUAACUUGAGUAGAAUUUUUAGCAAAUUAGGCAAAAUUUAGGGAAUGCUUUUCAAGAUUGGAAUCAGAUGUCUUUCCUGGAUAACAAAAACUUCCUCUAUGAGCAUUAUCCAAAUGUUCUUUCAUAUCUCCAUUUUGAAGCAAUAAAAGAAGUCUUGGAUGUUUCAGUGUCCAAUCUCUGAAUUGCAUAAAACUUGAGACACAAUGUUUCAUUCAUACAGCACUUCACUCUAUUAGGCAAAUAUUGUAUCAUUCAGUACUUUCUAUAGACACAAUUUGUCAUAAAAAUAACUUGAUAAUAUUAUUCUUAACCUAGAAAAGUCCACAA
ensembl:lncRNA